CGCAUGCAGGCGGUUUGUUAAGUCAGAUGUGAAAGCCCGGGGCUCAACCUCGGAACCGCAUUUGAAACUGGCAGGCUAGAGUCUUGUAGAGGGGGGUAGAAUUUCAGGUGUAGCGGUGAAAUGCGUAGAGAUCUGAAGGAAUACCAGUGGCGAAGGCGGCCCCCUGGACAAAGACUGACGCUCAGAUGCGAAAGCGUGGGUAGCAAACAGGAUUAGAUACCCUGGUAGUCCACGCCGUAAACGCUGUCUACUUGGAGGUUGAGGUUUAAGACUUUGGCUUUCGGCGCUAACGCAUUAAGUAGACCGCCUGGGGAGUACGGCCGCAAGGUUAAAACUCAAAUGAAUUGACGGGGGCCCGCACAAGCGGUGGAGCAUGUGGUUUAAUUCGAUGCAACGCGAAGAACCUUACCUACUCUUGACAUCCAGAGAACUUUCCAGAGAUGGAUUGGUGCCUUCGGGAACUCUGAGACAGGUGCUGCAUGGCUGUCGUCAGCUCGUGUUGUGAAAUGUUGGGUUAAGUCCCGCAACGAGCGCAACCCUUAUCCUUGUUUGCCAGCACGUAAUGGUGGGAACUCCAGGGAGACUGCCGGUGAUAAACCGGAGGAAGGUGGGGACGACGUCAAGUCAUCAUGGCCCUUACGAGUAGGGCUACACACGUGCUACAAUGGUAGAUACAGAGGGCAGCGAAGCUGCGAAGUGGAGCGGAUCCCUUAAAGUUUGUCGUAGUCCGGAUUGGAGUCUGCA
rnacentral:rRNA from 1 species